rnacentral:rRNA from 1 species
GACAGAGGGGGCAAGCGUUGCUCGGAAUUACUGGGCGUAAAGGGCGCGUAGGCGGGAUGGCAAGUCGGUCGUGAAAUGCCUCGGCUCAACUGAGGAUCGUCGAUCGAUACUGCCGUUCUUGAGGAUUGCAGAGGAGACUGGAAUUCCCGGUGUAGCGGUGAAAUGUGUAGAGAUCAGGAGGAACACCGGUGGCGAAGGCGGGUCUCUGGGCAGUAACUGACGCUGAGGAGCGAAAGCGUGGGGAGCGAACAGG